GGAUUGUGGCUCAGUGGUAGAGCGCUUGCCUAGCAUGUGUGAGGCACUGGGUUCAAUUCUCAGCACCA
rnacentral:tRNA from 1 species